rnacentral:rRNA from 1 species
UUUAUGGAGAGUUUGAUCCUGGCUCAGGACGAACGCUGGCGGCGUGCCUAAUACAUGCAAGUCGAGCGGACAAUUGAGAGCUUGCUCUCAAUUGUUAGCGGCGGACGGGUGAGUAACACGUGGGCAACCUGCCCUGUAGACUGGGAUAACUUCGGGAAACCGAAGCUAAUACCGGAUAAUCUUUAGCAUCACAUGGUGCAAAAGUAAAAGUUGGGUUUUACCUAACACUACAGGAUGGGCCCGCGGCGCAUUAGCUAGUUGGUAAGGUAACGGCUUACCAAGGCGACGAUGCGUAGCCGACCUGAGAGGGUGAUCGGCCACACUGGGACUGAGACACGGCCCAGACUCCUACGGGAGGCAGCAGUAGGGAAUCUUCCGCAAUGGACGAAAGUCUGACGGAGCAACGCCGCGUGAACGAUGAAGGCCUUCGGGUCGUAAAGUUCUGUUGUUAGGGAAGAACAAGUACCGUUCGAAUAGGGCGGUACCUUGACGGUACCUAACCAGAAAGCCACGGCUAACUACGUGCCAGCAGCCGCGGUAAUACGUAGGUGGCAAGCGUUGUCCGGAAUUAUUGGGCGUAAAGCGCGCGCAGGCGGUCUCUUAAGUCUGAUGUGAAAGCCCACGGCUCAACCGUGGAGGGUCAUUGGAAACUGGGAGACUUGAGUGCAGAAGAGGAGAGUGGAAUUCCAUGUGUAGCGGUGAAAUGCGUAGAUAUAUGGAGGAACACCAGUGGCGAAGGCGACUCUCUGGUCUGUAACUGACGCUGAGGCGCGAAAGCGUGGGGAGCAAACAGGAUUAGAUACCCUGGUAGUCCACGCCGUAAACGAUGAGUGCUAGGUGUUAGGGGUUUCGAUGCCCUUAGUGCCGAAGUUAACACAUUAAGCACUCCGCCUGGGGAGUACGACCGCAAGGUUGAAACUCAAAGGAAUUGACGGGGGCCCGCACAAGCAGUGGAGCAUGUGGUUUAAUUCGAAGCAACGCGAAGAACCUUACCAGGUCUUGACAUCCUUUGACAACCCUAGAGAUAGGGCUUUCCCCUUCGGGGGACAAAGUGACAGGUGGUGCAUGGUUGUCGUCAGCUCGUGUCGUGAGAUGUUGGGUUAAGUCCCGCAACGAGCGCAACCCUUGAUCUUAGUUGCCAGCAUUCAGUUGGGCACUCUAAGGUGACUGCCGGUGACAAACCGGAGGAAGGUGGGGAUGACGUCAAAUCAUCAUGCCCCUUAUGACCUGGGCUACACACGUGCUACAAUGGAUGGUACAAAGGGCAGCAAAACCGCGAGGUUGAGCCAAUCCCAUAAAGCCAUUCUCAGUUCGGAUUGUAGGCUGCAACUCGCCUACAUGAAGCCGGAAUUGCUAGUAAUCGCGGAUCAGCAUGCCGCGGUGAAUACGUUCCCGGGCCUUGUACACACCGCCCGUCACACCACGAGAGUUUGUAACACCCGAAGUCGGUGGGGUAACCUUUAUGGAGCCAGCCGCCUAAGGUGGGACAGAUGAUUGGGGUGAAGUCGUAACAAGGUAGCCGUAUCGGAAGGUGCGGCUGGAUCACCUCCUUU